rnacentral:rRNA from 1 species
AUACGGAGGGGGCUAGCGUUGUUCGGAAUUACUGGGCGUAAAGCGCGCGUAGGCGGACCAGUCAGUCAGGGGUGAAAUCCCGGGGCUCAACCCCGGAACUGCCUUUGAUACUGCUGGUCUUGAGUUCGAGAGAGGGGAGUGGAAUUCCGAGUGUAGAGGUGAAAUGCGUAGAUAUUCGGAGGAACACCAGUGGCGAAGGCGGCUCACUGGCUCGAUACUGACGCUGAGGUGCGAAAGCGUGGGGAGCAAACAGGAUUAGAAACCCUAGUAGUCC